AUGGUUAGAAAGUUGAGUUGGGAGAACUUGCAGUCGACUGGCUGUGGAGACAUGCACAAGGCUACUGACUUGGUGAGAAAGGUGGGUAUAAGCCUUUGGGAAUCACCAUCACUCCCAUCAGAGCUAGAAACACGUCUUGGAGCACCCGCCCCAUUGAUGGUAAGUUGGUAUCAUCCUCUGCGUUGCACAAAGCAAAUGACUGUCAUCAAAAUCAUCAACAUGGAUGGUGCUUAUCCCUCGCUCACUAUGUACAGGGAACUGUGUUAUGCGCCUAACAUCUCCUUUAGUCUUCACAACCCUGUGAGGUAGGUAAUGUUAAUAUUCCCAUUUCAUAGGUGAGUUAACUAAGUCUUUGAGAGAGUAAAUAACCAUUCAAGCUCUCUCCAGUAAUAAGUAUUGAACCAAGGGUUGAAGGUAGGUUUGUGUGGUCAGCGUCCUUGCACUAAAGCAUCAUGACGUAUCUGAGGAACUGAAAGACUGCUUUGCAGAGAUAAUAGCAAUAGUUUUAUAAAGAUACUAACAUCUAAAUCAUUUGCUCCACCUCAAAAAUAGCUCUGAGACAUCACAGCACUGCAAUGAAAUGUUUAACCACCAAGUAAACAGCUUCAGACCAGCAGAUGAAAUAAUUUGAUUGUCCAGUUAACUUUCAGGGAAACUGGCCAGGUCUGCCUGUGGUCCACUCUGGCCAUACGAGCUGGCCUUUCUGUUCACAAGUUCUGCACCUGUUUGGUAUGCUAAGUCACUUCAGUCGUGUUCAACUCUGUGUGACCCCAUAGACGGCAGCCCACCAGGCUCCCCUGUCCCUGGGAUUCUCCAGGCAAGAACACUGGAGUGGGUUGCCAUUUCCUUCUCCAGUGCAGGAAAGUGAAAAGUGAAAGUGAAGUUGCUCAGUCAUGUCUGACCCUCAGCGACCCAAUGGACUGCAGCCCCCCAGGCUCCUCUGUCCAUGGAAUUUUCCAGGCAAGAGUACUGGAGUGGGGUGCCAUUCUGCUUUCAAACCCUUCCUUUCCUUGUGCCAGCUCCCUCACAGAUACAAAAAUAAUAGCUUUCUAGUAGGCUCCAAAACCUCCUGCUUUUCAUAUAAGAUGUGGAAAUGAUAAGACCAUGCAGAAAAGUUGAUGAAACUAGCGCUGAAAUUUAGUAAUGUUUCUAAAAAUAGAGCUCUGAAAGAUUUAACAUUAUAAGUCACUGUGAUCCCCAGAGAAAAAGUGAUGGUGGUGGAGGUGUCUUCCAGUAAGUGUGAAAGUGUUUUUUUCUUACCCCCUCAAGAACAUUUUCCUUUGUAAUGUGGGGUCGCCUGGCAUUUUUC
ensembl:lncRNA